rnacentral:rRNA from 1 species
AGACAGACUUUAAUCGAAGAGAGCUGGAACGCUCUACCACAGAAGGUAAUAGUCCUGUAGGUAAAAAAUUAUGUCUUUUAGGUCUAAUCCAGAGUACCACGAGACACGUGAAACCUUGUGGGAAGCAGGGAGGACCACCUCCCAAGGCUAAAUACUAACUGGUGACCGAUAGUGAAGCAGUACCGUGAGGGAAAGGUGAAAAGAACCCCGGGAGGGGAGUGAAAUAGAACCUGAAACCGUAUGCUUACAAACAGUGGGAGCACGUUAAUGUGUGACCGCGUGCUUUUUGUAGAACGAGCCAGCGAGUUACGGUAUGUAGCAAGGUUAAGCACUUAAGGUGCGUAGCCGAAGGGAAACCGAGUCUGAAUAGGGCGACUAGUUGCAUGCCGUAGACCCGAAACCGAGUGACCUAUCCAUGGGCAGGUUGAAGCGGAAGUAAAAUUCCGUGGAGGACCGAACCACGUUGGUGUUGAAAAACCAUGGGAUGACCUGUGGAUAGCGGAGAAAUUCCAAUCGAACUCGGAGAUAGCUGGUUCUCCUCGAAAUAGCUUUAGGGCUAGCGUCUGGUUAUUGAGUAAUGGAGGUAGAGCACUGAAUGGGCUAGGGGCUGACAACAGUUACUGAACCCUAUCAAACUCCGAAUGCCAUAUACUUUUAUCCAGGCAGUCAGACUGCGAGUGAUAAGAUCCGUAGUCGAGAGGGAAACAACCCAGACCAUCAGCUAAGGUCCCAAAGUGUAAGUUAAGUGGAAAAGGAUGUGGGAUUUCUAAGACAACUAGGAUGUUGGCUUAGAAGCAGCCACUCAUUUAAAGAGUGCGUAAUAGCUCACUAGUCAAGAGAUCCUGCGCCGAAGAUGUCCGGGGCUCAAACUUACCACCGAAGCUAUGGAUUCAAUAGAAUGGUAGAGGAGCUUCCUGUAUGGGUAGAAGUCGUAUCGUAAGAAGCGGUGGACUGUACAGGAGUGAGUAUGCUGGCAUGAGUAGCGAGAAAUAAGUGAGAAUCUUAUUGGUCGAAAACCUAAGGUUUCCUGAGGAAGGUUCGUCCGCUCAGGGUUAGUCGGGACCUAAGCCCAGGCCGAAAGGCGUAGGUGAUGGACAAUCGGUUGAUAUUCCGAUACCGCCAACUUUCGUUUGACAAAUGGGGUGACACAGAAGGAUAAGGUAUGCACACUAUUGGAUGUGUGUCUAAGCACUUAGGCGUGCUUGAUUGGCAAAUCCGUCAAGCUAAGCUGAGGUGUUAUGGGGAGCCUAUUUUGGCGAAGUGCCUGAUUCCACACUGUCAAGAAAAGCCUCUAUGGAGAAUGUUGGUGCCCGUACCGCAAACCGACACAGGUAGGUGAGGAGAGAAUCCUAAGACCAUCGGAAGAAUUGCUGUUAAGGAACUAGGCAAAUUGACCCCGUAACUUCGGGAGAAGGGGUGCCAUGGAAACAUGGCCGCAGUGAAUAGGCCCAAGCAACUGUUUAGCAAAAACACAGGUCUCUGCUAAAGCGAAAGCUGAUGUAUAGGGGCUGACGCCUGCCCGGUGCUGGAAGGUUAAAGGGAUCCGUUAGCGUAAGCGAAGCGGUGAACUUAAGCCCCAGUGAACGGCGGCCGUAACUAUAACGGUCCUAAGGUAGCGAAAUUCCUUGUCGGGUAAGUUCCGACCCGCACGAAUGGCGUAAUGACUUGGGCACUGUCUCAACAGCAAAUCCGGCGAAAUUGUAGUGCAAGUGAAGAUGCUUGCUACCCGCGAUAGGACGGAAAGACCCCGUAGAGCUUUACUGUAGCUUAACAUUGAAUUUCGGUAUUGUCUGUACAGGAUAGGUGGGAGACUUAGAAGCAGGAGCGUCAGUUUCUGUGGAGUCAUCCUUGGGAUACCACCCUGAUAGUACUGAAAUUCUAACCGGGGACCAUGAAUCUGGUCACGGGACAUUGUUAGGUGGGCAGUUUGACUGGGGCGGUCGCCUCCUAAAAAGUAACGGAGGCGCCCAAAGGUUCCCUCAGCGCGGUCGGAAAUCGCGCGUAGAGUGUAAAGGCAUAAGGGAGCCUGACUGCGACACAUACAGGUGGAGCAGGGACGAAAGUCGGGCUUAGUGAUCCGGUGGUUCCUCGUGGGAGGGCCAUCGCUCAACGGAUAAAAGCUACCUCGGGGAUAACAGGCUGAUCUCCCCCAAGAGUCCACAUCGACGGGGAGGUUUGGCACCUCGAUGUCGGCUCGUCGCAUCCUGGGGCUGGAGUAGGUCCCAAGGGUUGGGCUGUUCGCCCAUUAAAGCGGCACGCGAGCUGGGUUCAGAACGUCGUGAGACAGUUCGGUCCCUAUCCGUCGCGGGCGUAGGAAAUUUGAAGGGAGCUGUCCUUAGUACGAGAGGACCGGGAUGGACUGACCUCUGGUGCACCAGUUGUCACGCCAGUGGCA